AUGGGUGGCUGGUCGUUGCUUGAGAACUACACAGUGGACGCGAGCAUCUGUGGCCAAGUUUUUAAGGGCGCACGGUGGAUGCCUUGGCACCAGGAACCGAUGAAGGACGUGGGAGGCCACGAUAGUCCCC
rnacentral:rRNA from 1 species